UGAAAUUCGACUAUGAGCAAGUACGAGCAAGUUUUGGCUACGUGCAAUUCCUGCUCUCAGGUCACUUUUGCGGCAUGUCAAAGGUUGUGGGUAGGUGUGGGUUCCUGUUUUGCGGGGGGUGGUGGGUGGUGGGGCGGUAUAUAUGUGGGUUGUAGCUAUUGGCCAUAAACUUUCGCCUGUUGAAGCGCAAAGCAACAGAGCACCACCAGGGUUAGUCGUGUGCGGAAAGUGGAGAUUGCUGGCUGAGAGCUUCGUGUGGAUUAGUGCAAAAAUAUCUUUCCCUUUUGGUUCUAUAAUUCUUGAGCAACAUUUAGCAUACUUCCGGUUCUGUGGCGAGGAGUAUUUAAGUAUUUCACCAUCCUUUACCGCACGCAGUCACCCUGUUUGGAGUGAGAUCCUUAUGGGUCCAUCGCUUCAGUUACAGUCAAGUAUGUCAGUUAAACAGUGCCAAGUGUUCUCACACUUACCACACUCUUGCCACUCGAUGUUGCCUACUUUUGUGCGCAGCGCUGUCUCACUUCGCCGCUUCGAUAGUCGACUGUCAGGAUACAAAGCAAAUUCCCAAUGCAACGACUGCAUUAUGAUUGUCACUUCAAAUCCUUGAAAUGCUGAUUGAAUGGACGGCAAUUCGCUCGGAAAAGCCAGUUGGGAAGUGGGAGGGAUACCAAGCAUUCGAAUGCUGACGCAUAGCAUCAAACAUGGAGUGCAGCUGAACGUCACGCACUUGGCUGUCGCCGUUUUUAUGCUGCCAAUAAUUCAAACUGCUGUGCGAAUGCAAAAAUGACAAGCCAAGUUCUCGACUUUCAAGUGGAAUCGCAGAAUCCCAGAAUCGCAGAAUCGAUGCGCAGAAGCACUCAGAAGAUAACGACUGGCGACACAAACGGCCGGAGCACAUCUACAUAGCAGAACCCACUGCUCCCUCAACUGGAGUGGUGUGGCAUAAUAAAUGAACUCCUAUUCCCCAGUCACGUCAUUUAAUAAUGCAAUCCCAGCCGAAUACUGAGUUAGCUCGCAAGACUGUACAAUUAAUUUAUCUUCAUAAAAUUACGCAAUAAAUUUUGAAAUGGAAAUGCUUUGACCGCUGUCAAAAGUUCCCGGCUUAAACUAGCUAAAUUAUUCAUUUCGCUACACAAAGGAAGUGCACAGCAACUAAAACUUUAUUCUGCAUAAAAAUGGAAAUAUUAUUUCACUACCAAAGUAAUAUCGCCAAUAAAUCUUUCACUGACUUACAUUUUCUUUAAGUGUGCUCUAAGCUGGAAAGGCCACCAAUUUCGACCAUGAAAACCUUUAAGAAAGUUUACGUUAUGAAUGGAAGGCCGAAAAUAGGUUGUUCGCCAAUAGCAACAAAAUGUCGAAGAAGCUGGAAGAUGAAGUUGAGUUUGCCCAUCUGCGUCGGACACGAAAAGUUUCUAAUUGAAUUCCAUGGAAAGUAGUGAGAAUCUCGUUAUGAAUGGCCAACUCGAAUUACUUGUAUCAGUUGAGGCAACUGGAUUAAAAUGCUUAAUAAUUUCAACUUUUGUCUCGGCCAAAUUGUGCUGUAAAAAGUGUUUAUAAAAUUACGACAACCAAGUCA